rnacentral:rRNA from 1 species
AAUCCGGGGUCCCCGACCUCCGAGUUGUAAUUUGGAGAGGCAUCUUCGGGGGGGAGCGCCGGCCCAUGUUCCUUGGAACAGGACGUCGCAGAGGGUGAGAAUCCCGUGCCAGGCCGGCUCCCUCCUCCCGUGUGAAGCGCCUUCGACGAGUCGAGUUGUUUGGGAAUGCAGCUCCAAGUGGGUGGUAAGUUUCAUCUAAAGCUAAAUACCGGCGGGAGACCGAUAGCGCACAAGUAGAGUGAUCGAAAGAUGAAAAGCACUUUGAAAAUAGAGUCAAAAAGUACGUGAAAUUGUUGAAAGGGAAGCGCUUGAGACCAGACUCAGGCCCGGGCAAACACCGCGCCCCCCGGGGCCGGGCAAUUGCCUGGGGCUGGGCCAGCAUCAGUCGGCGUGGCGGGACAAAGGCGCGGGGAAUGUGGCUCCCCUCGGGGAGUGUUAUCAGCCCCGUGCUCAAUGCCGCCGACGCCGACUGAGGACCGCGCCUAGGCUAGGAUGCUGGCUUAAUGGCCUUCAGCGACCCGUCUUGAAACACGGACCAAGGAGUCUAACAUCUAUGCGAGUGUUUGGGCGUCAAACCCUUGCGCGGAAUGAAAGUGAGCGGAGGUGGGAACCCCCCCAGCGGGGCGCACCAUCGACCGAUCCUGAUGUCUUCGGAUGGAUUUGAGUA